rnacentral:misc_RNA from 1 species
UACGUAGGUGGCAAGCGUUGGCCGGAAUUAUUGGGCGUAAAGCGCGCGCAGGCGGCGUCUUAAGUCUGAUGUGAAAGCCCCCGGCUCAACCGGGGAGGGCCAUUGGAAACUGGGAGGCUUGAGUAUAGGAGAGAGUAGUAGAAUUCCACGUGUAGCGGUGAAAUGUGUAGAGAUGUGGAGGAAUACCGGUGGCGAAGGCGACUCUCUGGCCUAUAACUGACGCUGAGGCGCGAAAGCGUGGGGAGCAAACAGG